UACGUAGGGGGCUAGCGUUGUCCGGAUUUAUUGGGCGUAAAGAGCGUGUAGGCGGCCAGAUAGGUCAGCUGUGAAAACUCGAGGCUCAACCUCGAGAUGUCGGCUGAAACCAUCUGGCUAGAGUCCGGAAGAGGAGAAUGGAAUUCCCGGUGUAGCGGUGAAAUGCGCAGAUAUCGGGAAGAACACCUAUGGCGAAGGCAGCUCUCUGGGACGGUACUGACGCUGAGACGCGAAAGCGUGGGGAGCGAACAGG
rnacentral:rRNA from 1 species